rnacentral:rRNA from 1 species
UACAGAGGGGGCAAGCGUUAUUCGGAAUUAUUGGGCGUAAAGGGCGCGUAGGCGGCCUUGCAAGUGACGGGUGAAAUCCCUCGGCUUAACCGAGGAACUGCCUGUCAAACUGCGUGGCUUGAGACCAGGAGAGGUGAGUGGAAUUCCCAGUGUAGCGGUGAAAUGCGUAGAUAUUGGGAGGAACACCAGUGGCGAAGGCGGCUCACUGGACUGGUACUGACGCUGAUGCGCGAAAGCGUGGGGAGCAAACGGG